GCGGGGUUGGCGGAACUGGCAGACGCAAUGGCCUUAGGAGCCAUUGGCCGCAAGGCCGUAGGGGUUCAAAUCCCUUACCCCGCACCA
rnacentral:tRNA from 1 species